rnacentral:rRNA from 1 species
AGGGGAGUGAAAAAGAACCUGAAACCGUGUACGUACAAGCAGUGGGAGCCUCUUUAUGGGGUGACUGCGUACCUUUUGUAUAAUGGGUCAGCGACUUAUAUUCUGUAGCAAGGUUAACCGAAUAGGGGAGCCGAAGGGAAACCGAGUCUUAACUGGGCGUUAAGUUGCAGGGUAUAGACCCGAAACCCGGUGAUCUAGCCAUGGGCAGGUUGAAGGUUGGGUAACACUAACUGGAGGACCGAACCGACUAAUGUUGAAAAAUUAGCGGAUGACUUGUGGCUGGGGGUGAAAGGCCAAUCAAACCGGGAGAUAGCUGGUUCUCCCCGAAAGCUAUUUAGGUAGCGCCUCGUGAAUUCAUCUCCGGGGGUAGAGCACUGUUUCGGCAAGGGGGUCAUCCCGACUUACCAACCCGAUGCAAACUGCGAAUACCGGAGAAUGUUAUCACGGGAGACACACGGCGGGUGCUAACGUCCGUCGUGAAGAGGGAAACAACCCAGACCGCCAGCUAAGGUCCCAAAGUCAUGGUUAAGUGGGAAACGAUGUGGGAAGGCCCAGACAGCCAGGAUGUUGGCUUAGAAGCAGCCAUCAUUUAAAGAAAGCGUAAUAGCUCACUGGUCGAGUCGGCCUGCGCGGAAGAUGUAACGGGGCUAAACCAUGCACCGAAGCUGCGGCAGCGACACUAUGUGUUGUUGGGUAGGGGAGCGUUCUGUAAGCCUGUGAAGGUGGCCUGUGAGGGUUGCUGGAGGUAUCAGAAGUGCGAAUGCUGACAUAAGUAACGAUAAAGCGGGUGAAAAGCCCGCUCGCCGGAAGACCAAGGGUUCCUGUCCAACGUUAAUCGGGGCAGGGUGAGUCGACCCCUAAGGCGAGGCCGAAAGGCGUAGUCGAUGGGAAACAGGUUAAUAUUCCUGUACUUGGUGUUACUGCGAAGGGGGGACGGAGAAGGCUAUGUUGGCCGGGCGACGGUUGUCCCGGUUUAAGCGUGUAGGCUGGUUUUCCAGGCAAAUCCGGAAAACC